rnacentral:tRNA from 1 species
GGGGAUGUAGCUUGGAGGUGGAGUGUGUGCUUUGCAUGCAUGAGGCCCCGGGUUCAAACCUCGGCCUCUCCA